UUGACCUUUUCUAUUUUUAAAUCACUCACAGAGGGUGGGAUUAGGAGGAAGAGUGAAAGAGAAGGUCAA
ensembl:misc_RNA